rnacentral:rRNA from 1 species
UACGAGGGGUGCAAGCGUUGCUCGGAAUUAUUGGGCGUAAAGGGUAGGUAGGUGGUCUCAUUUGUCUGGGGUGAAAGCCUUGAGCUUAACUCAAGAAGUGCCCUAGAAACGGUGAGACUGGAGUCCUGGAGAGGGUCGUGGAAUUCCCGGUGUAGCGGUGAAAUGCGUAGAGAUCGGGAGGAACACCAGCGGCGAAGGCGGCGACCCGGACAGGUACUGACACUCAACUACGAAAGCGUGGGGAGCAAACAGG